rnacentral:lncRNA from 1 species
CCACAGACAAUAAUUUAUCAGCUUCCCACAAUUUCAUGAAUAAAAGUAAGUCUUGGUAUAUUUCGAAGACUCAAUAUUUUUGCUCGCUGCGAAAUGGGUUUCGCUCUAAAUUUCUGGUUGAGAUAAGUUGGUGCUAAAAAUGCAGCCCACAUUUUGUAAUGGCUUUGCAAAAGUUACAGUAUUUUAAUCUGCAGGAGUUUGGCAACUUAUAUAGAAUAUAUUGUUAUUUUGUGGGUGUCGCAUGGUAGUCCAUCUGAUAAUUGAUCAAGCUACGUAUUAAAAAUGGAUCUUCUGAAAGGAGGUAAUUGGAAUCAAAUAUAAUCUUUCACCCAAAAUAUCACAAAUACUUAUUUUGUUUGUUUCAGGCAAAGGUAUAUGCGUAUGAAAGUCAGCAUGAUGGCUACGUGUCAAAAACGGCGAGGAACAUGACUAGAGAGUUAAUUUCAGAACAACUACUUGCACUUUACAGCUUAAAAGGAGGGCACAAGAACCAGAAAAAUUCCGAAAGAAAGAAGAAAUUCAAGAGCCUGAAGACUUUUCAGCUCAUCUUAGAUGUUGUCCGGAAAGUGUGGAAAAGCAGAUAUUCUGAUUACAAAGACUUGACCGAUCAAACCUUGGGCCAGCUCCUGAUUGAUUGUGGAAGACCAAAUAAUCAUGCCGCCUAGUGAUGACACUGCAGCAUCAGUUUCUCUUCUUUCUUUUUUUUUUUUUUUUUUUUUUUUUUUUUAUUGUUUGAUCAAAUUUAUUACAUAAAUUACAAUAUAAAUAAAUAAGGUAAAGUAAUAAACUUAAUCUGGCGGAACGCGUGUUAUCUACACAUUAAGUCCACCGGGAGAUAAAAAUCUCAUCAAAGAAUUCUACAAAAUCACCUUACGGUGCUAAUACUACUUCUCAAUUAGAGAUUGACUGCACUUUUUACUACUUAAUAUUUGAAAUAUAAAAUUUCAAUAUUCUUAUUCUACUUUACAGGUUGAAAAAACCAAUAUAGUAAACUAUACAGAAAAAAAUUCCCCUGUCUCAGGAGCUACUUUUACCUAUUUAGAUAAAAUCAUGAUCAUACUACUAUCUCUUAUGAGGUUCAGAAUAGAACUAACUCCUAUGAAGUUUGUCUACUUAUUUUCCCACAUAUAUAUUGGGAGUUAUAGUGUAGAGGUUAAUCUACUAUUUAUCUGCUAUAUCUCAACAAAGAAAACACUUCAAGUUCAAAGUAUGACUCAAUGUAUGACAAAUUAUGUCAAUGUGAAUUCCUCCGGUCUGAUAAUAUUAGUGGCCGAGAUAUGAGAUUGAAUUGAAUUUAACUACUUUAAGGUGAUUAAACUGACCACCUUAAUAUUUAGGUUUAUGUUUUUCCCUAUUAACAAAUUUUCCUAUUUGGUUUUCUUUUGUGUGUUUCCACACUUGCAGUUAGUUGAUUUGCCGGUCAAACUUAAGAUUUCAUUUUUGAGUGAAGCAAUUGUCUUGUUUAAUAGGGAAUUUCCUUCUCGAGUUUCAGUUCCAGGCUCUUAAUUGGUUAUUCAGCUUUUUUAUCUCCUUAUUCUUAUCAUUUAAAUUGUCUCCAUUGUUUGGAGUCCCAUCCUCGUUCACAGGGUGCUCUUUUAAUUUCUUUGUUGAUUAUAUUUCUCUAGCUUCGCUUCCUUAGUUUUUUAUAAAACUUACAACCUUUCCAGGUUGUAAAGUGGGACUCUUUACAAUGCAGACACCUCGGUAUUACUUUAGAAUUAGAAUUAUUUUCUUUAGCCUUUAAAGAGAUGGGACAGCCUUUAAAGAGAUGGAACCUCUUCUUUCUUUGAUUUUUUAAAUUUUAAUUUUUUUUUGUCUAUUGUAGAUUUUUCCUCAAUUCCAAAGUUAUUUUUCUUUGAUUUUUCAAACAUUGGCGGAUCCAGCAAAUUGGCAACACUGUUCUUCUCCAUUUAAAACUAUGUUAAAUAAUCGAUUCUUGUCAGGGCACCUGGCCCCUCCGAGAAUCGAUUGUUUAACAUAGGUUUAAAUGGAGGGAAUCUGUUGUUGCCAAUUGCUGGAUCCGCCCCUGUUUUCAAAGCUUUAUUCUCUUAACUGUCUUUAAGGUCAUUUGUAGAUUAAUCUGCAUUGUGGUGGACCACAAUUGAUGUGCGUUUGUUUCUCUGUCAACUGAGGCUCUUGAAUUUCUUCUUUUUUUCGGUAUUUUUCUUGUUCUAAUGCCCUCCUUUUAAGCUGUAAAGUGCAAGCAGUUGUGCAACACAGCGUUUCUCUGUCAACUUACUUCCCUCAAAUUUAUAAUUAAAUUUGGCUUUGGGUUGAAGCAGAUGUAUAUUUAGAACUCUUUCAGAGCUGAAUAUCUUCAGCACUUCAAGCAAAGUUUUCUCAAACCUUUAUAUAACGCUGCCUAUUGAUGACACUCGGCAUCAGUUGCUCUUCUUUCUUUGAUUUUUUAAAUUUUAAUUUUUUUUUUUGUCUUCAGUAAAUUUUCCCUCAAUUCCAAAGUUAUUUUUCUUUGAUUUUUCAAACAUUGGCGGAUCCAGCAAAUUGGCAACACUGUUCUUCUCCAUUUAAAACUAUGUUAAAUAAUCGAUUCUUGUCAGGGCACCUGGCCCCUCCGAGAAUCGAUUGUUUAACAUAGGUUUAAAUGGAGGAAUCUGUUGUUGCCAAAUUGCUGGAUCCGCCCCUGUUUUCAAAGCUUUAUUCUCUUAACUGUCUUUAAGGUCAUUUGUAGAUUAAUCUGCAUUGGCUUUGGUUGAAGCAGAUGUAAUAUUUAGAACUCUUUCAGAGCUGAAUAUCUUCCGCACAUUCUUCAAGGUUUUCUCAAGUUGAUCGUUCAUGGAAGUAAACCGAACGGAUCAUUCCAUUUCAAAGAAGCUAUGAAUAAGUUGUUUCCUAUUUUUUCUUUACUAUUUUCUUUCUCUUAAUUUCCUUUACUUAAUUUACUCCUUAUAUAUUGUGCUAACUAUAAGAAAUGGUUUUCGUAAAGUCCUCUUUUUAGGAUUCAAUGUUCUCAGUACAUAUUUAGUGUGUUCACUUUUUCUGUAAUAAGUUAGCAGUUACCUAUAUUGUACCUAGCUUUGAUAAGGCUUUUUGGGAGCUUUAAUAGUUUUACAUGUUGACUGCAAUAUUAUCUGGAUAGGAAUGUUGUGAUAAUAUGCCUUUUUACGUCCUAUGAGAACCAUUUUGUUCCUAUUACUUAUUGUUAAGGAUUCUUGAAAAUGUUCAAAGUUUAUUUUUGAAUUGUAAUUCCGUGAUUAAUUCUAGUUUUUCCUCAUUUCUUUUGAUUAUACUUUUGUUUUUCUACAAAUUUUUCUAUUAAUCAUUCACAAAAAUUUCCAAUAACCUUGCAAAGGAAUAGAACCUACUUUUUUAGACGAUUCAGAGAUGAAUAAAGAGGAAUCAUUCAUGCAACAGGGAGGAAAUAUUGAAAUCAGCCUGCAUCUAAUCAUUCAUAGAAGGAAAAGAAAAUCUUUUUUCUUCCUUGAUAAAAAUAAAUGAAGCGCAAUCAAUUCUCAUUGCUUCCUUCCGGAGGGCCGGGUCACCUUCAUUCUGUUCACCUUAUUUUUUCUUGAAAUGUACUGUAACCAUGACUUCUCCAAAAGAAAAGAAAGGGCUGAAUUUCAGGGUCACAUUUUUUCCAAAAAAAUGGAUUUUCUUAAAUUGAAGCAUGUUUAAAUUUAAUUUCAUUUUUUUAACAAUUUAGUUGCAAUUUUUGCAGAAACGAAAUUGCCGUUUUUUUGCAGUGGUGCAGAUGUUGCCAAAAAACUGCAGUUGAAGUGUAAAAAAAUUUCAAACUUAAUUAAACAAAUUGAGGCAAAUUGAAAUUCAGUUUAAGUAAAUUGCAACUCAUUCGUUGCACUGUGCUAUUUGGGAUGCCCCUCUGGGAUUUCUUUAACUUCGUCUAUCGAUUACUCAUACUUGAGCCCUUCUUUUCCAAAUUUUCAGACCCCAAAAAUUUUGGGGGGGGCGCUAGGGGGGGGGAAGUCAAAACCUAUGAACCUCAAUUUCUCUCGAAAAAUAAAGAUAUCGAGGUCCGGUUUGGACAAAAUCGUCUAAAAUUACAUACUUUAAGAUUCUAAAGGUCAAAAUCCCAAAAUCACAUUUUCAAAACAACAUAUGACAUUUAUUUUUUUUUGAGUGGGAAAAAUUUUUUUUUUAAACGAAAGAAAAACAAAGAUUUCAAUUUUUUAUUUGAACCGUGCCGACCGACCGGUCCCCAAAGUAUAAAUUUUAGACGAUUUUUUGUCCAAACCGGACCUCGAUAUCUUUAUUCGUUCGAGAUAUAUCGAGGUUCACAGGUUUUGACUUCCACCCCCCCUAGCGCCCCCCAAAAUUUUUUCGGGGUCUAAAAUUUGGGAAAAGAAGAGUAGUAUGAAAUCGAUAGAAAAUUUAGAAGAAAUUCCGAGGGGGGCGAAAAAAACCGUUUUUGCAUCAAGCUUUUCAGAGGAACCAAAAAAAUUUAAAAAUUGUCAAUUUAAAAUUAAAUUGGCAAUAGCCGAUGUAGUGGUUUCUUUCUGCUGAACGUGCGGUCCUAUUCUCCACUUACGACAAAACCUAUAUCUUACUCCGCGCCAUAGCCUUCAUCUCACAUCAUAGUAUAGUAUAUCAUUGUAUAUUCCUCAAGAUAAGUAUGUGCUAUCUUAUGUUAUAUCCUCCCGCUGUCAGUAAAAUCUAUCACUGAGCGCGGAAAUUGCUCCUACCACGACCAGUAUUAUUUAAAAAGAACUUUUGCUACUUAAAAAAGGCAUUAUUGUUUCUCCACAUCAUUCAUGCAUUGUAAGUACGAUCUUUACAUUCAACUUUUAGCAAUUUGAAGGAGAAUUCCAAAAAAAAACUUAAAUAUAAUUGCGUUUCCUUUAGUAAGUUUGAAUUUUUUAAACCAAAAUCAUUCUUCGUUCUUGAAGUAUACCUCCUUCUACUAUUUUCUCCAAUUUGCAGUUGUUUUUAAAUUAGAAGCACUCAUUUCAUUAACUGUAGGUCUGGAGAGUAUAUGGAGUGACUCAAAAGUCCAUUAUACCCCUCUAACUUUUUACCUAAUUGGGAAAAAGUUUAAAAAACUUGGGGGAUGUUCUUAGAUCGAAGGGAGCCACUUUUCAUUCCCCUAAAUUUGGGGGGCCCCCUUGAGGAUGCAACGGACCCAAACUUUUUUUCAAAUAGGAAGUCGGAAGAGAUGGAAUAACGAUCCUUUGGGGGAAUGUUUCUAUCUCAAAUGAGACCAUCUUCUAGGGGGUCAAAAUUUUUGUCCCUCCCUCAAGGAGGGGGGGGCAACUUUUUUUUCGAAUGGUAACCCUAUUUUUUAUGCAUAAUUGGAAAGAAUAUUCAAAACUAAGAAUUUCGGCGCAAACGCAGAUCAAUCUUAAUUUUUGACCGAGUUAUGAAAGGAAAGGUCGAAUUUGAGCUAU